rnacentral:lncRNA from 1 species
CCAAUAAAUAAUACAAGCCACAAAUAAGCAAUAUAAACUACAAAGAUGGAUAUAAGAAUUGAAUUGGGCCAAACAAAGCUGCUCAUUUCUGGGGCUUACAAUUAUGGACUUCGGGUCCAUUUUCUGAACUGUAUACCAGCUAUAUAUCACAGCUCUUUCCCCUGCGUUUUUUUGGUAUAGACGCUGUAUAUCACCGUACGACAACCGUACAAUUGCUUCCAAUCUUGUUAUGCAUCAUGUUGCACAUAUACCAGCCACUUUCAGAUCAUAAAUACUGUAUAUUUUCUGUAUAUCCGUGUAUAUCAGUAGCUGUUCAUUCAUACUAGUCCUUUUGAAGAAGUAGGAGGCUCGACUCAAUGCUACGGAGGCUUCGCACCAAGGGUAUGCAAGAUGAGGAGUCCAAAUGGACUCAAUCAGGAGAGUUCAUGCACAGAAAACGAGAUAAGGAUGAGCAUCCAAGAAGAAUCUUUAAACAAUAAUCAAGCAAGUAAAAACACUCAAACAAAAUGCUUAAUGCUCAAUUAUGUGAAGCAGAGCAAUCUCAAUACAAAAUGCGAGGCUCGUAAUUAUCACAUUCCGUUAACACCACGCAAUUUCUAUGAUUCAAGCAUUCCGUCCAACAAUUAUACUAUAGUUUACAAGAUUUCCGAGGAAACUUGAAUUAGCUUAUGGAUAUCAAGCUAUGUGCAAACCAGAGAAUGUAUUCAUGAUAGAGAAAAGUACAUAAGAGUUAAAAACUUUGAAUCCCUUAGUCAAAGCCUCGUAUAGCUAUUAUUUAAGCUCCACCUUACAACAAAGAUACUGAUUUUGAAGUAAAUCAAUGACCAAAACAUGCUAUCCUUAGUGAAAUCUUUAGCUUAAUAAUUUGUUCAAACAAUAAAACAUAUACUCAACACACUCAAACAUCAAGAUAAUUCAACACCCAGACUUUACUGUUACUUCCAGAAAACACCAUUCAAACGACCAACAUCCCACGGAGAUCCAACUAUUCUAACAACAACAACACAGUAACAACACUUAACAAAUCGGACCCCAAGAAAAAUACCACGACAAGAAGGAUUAGGAUCCAUUUAAACUUCCACAUAAAUAACAGAUUCAAGAUUUUUCCUUAUUAAUAAAACCUAAUCUAUGGCACAUGGGAGAUGGACAAAAAAGGGGUUACCUUUAUCCGGGCAGCAAAUGGGACGACGAGCCUAAAACGAUGAGGUUUUUC